GAUGAAGAACGCAGCGAAAUGUGAUAAGUAGUGUGAAUUGCAGAAUUCAGUGAAUCAUCGAAUCUUUGAACGCACAUUGCGCCUCCUGGUAUUCCGGGAGGCAUGCCUGUUCGAGCGUCAUUAAAAUCACUCAAGCUUAGGUUUACCUAUUGCUUGGUCUUGGAGAUGGAAGCCAAUUUAUUGGAAUCCUCUUCGAAAUUCAAUGGCGAAGACCCUUGCUCUCCCAAGUGUAGUAAUAACUUAUGUCACUGAAGGAAGCGAGAAAUCUUCUGCCGUAACCCCCAUAUUUUCUAUGAUUGACCUCGGAUCAGGUAGGGAUACCCGCUGAACUUAAGCAUAUCAAUAAGCGGAGGA
rnacentral:misc_RNA from 1 species